UACAGAGGUCUCAAGCGUUGCUCGGAUUCAUUGGGCGUAAAGGGCGUGUAGGCGGUCCGCUAAGUCUGAUGUGAAAGCCCGGGGCUCACCCCCGGAAGGGCAUUGGAAACUGACGGACUCGAGUCCCGAAGAGGAGGGUGGAAUUCCUGGUGUAGCGGUGAAAUGCGUAGAUAUCAGGAGGAACACCGGUGGCGAAGGCGGCCCUCUGGACGGUGACUGACGCUGAGACGCGAAAGCGUGGGGAGCAAACAGG
rnacentral:rRNA from 1 species